rnacentral:tRNA from 1 species
GUCGGAGAAGUUCAUGAGGCAGAACGCGAGUUUGAAGACCUCGAUGUAGCAGGUUCGAGUCCUGCCUCCGACG